UCUCCUGUAGCAUAAAUGGUAGUGUACCAGAUUCUGAUUCUGGGUGGUGUAAGUUCGAAUCUUACUGGGAGAA
rnacentral:tRNA from 1 species